rnacentral:rRNA from 1 species
GACGAACGCUGGCGGCGUGCUUAACACAUGCAAGUCGAACGGAAAGGCCUCUUUCGGGGGGUACUCGAGUGGCGAACGGGUGAGUAACACGUGAGUAACCUGCCCUUGACUUUGGGAUAACUUCAGGAAACUGGGGCUAAUACCGGAUAGGAGCUCCUGCUGCAUGGUGGGGGUUGGAAAGUUUCGGCGGUUGGGGAUGGACUCGCGGCUUAUCAGCUUGUUGGUGGGGUAGUGGCUUACCAAGGCUUUGACGGGUAGCCGGCCUGAGAGGGUGACCGGCCACAUUGGGACUGUGAUACGGCCCAGACUCCUACGGGAGGCAGCAGUGGGGAAUAUUGCACAAUGGGUGGAAGCCUGAUGCAGCAACGCCGUGUGCGGGAUGACGGCCUUCGGGUUGUAAACCGCUUUCGCUCAUGACGAAGCUUUGUGUGACGGUAGUGGGUAAAGAAGCACCGGCUAACUACGUG